rnacentral:tRNA from 3 species
GCCGGAGUAGCUCAGUUGGUAGAGCAACGGUUUUGUAAACCGUGGGUCGUCGGUUCGAGUCCGGCCUCCGGCUCCU